rnacentral:rRNA from 1 species
AUAGAACGCUGGCGGUAUGCUUAACACACGCAAGUCGAACGAUGAGAAAGAGCUUGCUCUUUCGAUUAGUGGCGGACGGGUGCGUAACGCGUAGGAAUCUACCUAUUAGUGGGGGACAACUUAGGGAAACUUAAGCUAAUACCGCAUACGCCCUACGGGGGAAAGAAGGGGAUCGCAAGACCUUUUGCUAAUAGAUGAGCCUGCGUAGGAUUAGCUAGUUGGUGGGGUAAAGGCUCACCAAGGCGACGAUCCUUAACUGGUUUGAGAGAAUGAUCAGUCACACUGGAACUGAGACACGGUCCAGACUCCUACGGGAGGCAGCAGUGGGGAAUAUUGGACAAUGGGCGAAAGCCUGAUCCAGCAAUACCGCGUGUGUGAAGAAGGCCUUAGGGUUGUAAAGCACUUUCAAUUGGAAGGAAAACCUCGAAGCUAAUACCUUCGAGUUUGACAUUACCUUUAGAAGAAGCACCGGCUAACUCCGUGCCAGCCGCCGCGGUAA